AAUUGAACUUUUGUCACUGACAUGUUGUGUGCUGGGCUUCUCUGCCUAGCUUCCUAUGUGCUCUACAGGUGCAUAUCUGUCCCAUCCCUCAGUUUUAUUUAUGCAGAAUCUGCUGCAUCUCUGGAAGAUUUGUGAGCUGACUGCAAACACACCAAGAGUAAGGGGAGCAGAUGUUUUCUCUCAGCCCCGAAUCCCACUCAGAGUGCACACAAGCCAUGGCACAGAGCAGGGGCCCAGAGCCUGCUUGCUAGAAGGAUCCUCUUUCUCCUUCCCCAGAGACUGCACAGAAAGCACCCCGGCCCCUUCUGGGGAUGUGUGCCAUACUCAUGGUGCAGCUCUGCAGCCUCCUCCUGAAAGCACUUCCUCCAGAGGGAUCCUGUGCUGAUGAAACAGACUUGUGAAUAUGGCUCCUGAUCCACAGGAUGCAACCUGAACCACAGAAAAUGCUGAGUUCUCCAGAGGCUGUCUUCGUGCCCUGCCUGUUUCCCUUAAGUGUUCAAUGUGUGCUGAUGGCUUCCUGCUGUGAGGGCCUGAGACUGUCCCUGGAGAGCUUCCUAAGAAACAUCAGGGUUCU
rnacentral:lncRNA from 1 species